UGAACCCCAUACUGGGCCCAUAGGCAGAUUUAGGGGGGGCUGCAGGCUCCCUCUUUUUGGGAAAAAAUUUGGUUGCUUAUAUAGGGAAUCAAUGAAGCGUGACUAGAGCCCUCUUAGGUCAGGCAGUGGGCCCCCCCCUAUGAAAAUUUCUGGAUCCGCCACUAGACCCACUUUUACUGUUGGAUGUUUUAUACCAGGAUGGAGAAAGAUGUUCACUAUGAAUAAAAAAUUCAAAACAGAGGACUUUUAUAUAUCAACAAAAACAAUUGCAGUACAUGCACAUAUACAUGUAUAAAAGUACACUGUCAGCAUGGUCAGAAGAAGAAUUUUACUGGAGGAUUAAAAUUUUGAUACCUGGAAUCAGCAAUGAAUAUGAAAAUGAAAAUAAGAUAUAUUCAUGUACAGAAUGGUAACCGAGGUGGUUCAAUUGUUUAUUAGCAGACAUUUUUGUUGAACUUAUGCAGGAUUGAAUAAAUGAAACUUAAGCUGA